rnacentral:rRNA from 1 species
GAUGAACGCUAGCGGCAGGCCUAACACAUGCAAGUCGAGGGGUAGAGCACUUCGGUGUUUGAGACCGGCGCACGGGUGCGUAACGCGUAUGCAAUCUGCCUUACACUAAGGGAUAGCCCAGAGAAAUUUGGAUUAAUACCUUAUAGUAUAUUGGUGUGGCAUCACAUUAUUAUUAAAGAUUUAUCGGUGUAAGAUGAGCAUGCGUCCCAUUAGCUAGUUGGUAUGGUAACGGCAUACCAAGGCAAUGAUGGGUAGGGGUCCUGAGAGGGAAAUCCCCCACAAUUGUACCGAGACACGGACCAGGCCACUACGGGAGGCAGCAGUGAGGAAUAUUGGACAAUGGGCGCAAGCCUGAUCCAGCCAUGCCGCGUUCAGGAUGAAGCAUCUAUGGUGUGUAAACUGCUUUUGUACGGGAAGAAACACCUCUUCGUGAAGAGGCUUGACGGUACCGUAAGAAUAAGGACCGGCUAACUCCGUGCCAGCCGCCGCAGUAACAC